UGACACUUGAAUGUUGCAGUUAAGAAAAUGGAGACCUGGAUGAAGCUGAAGGAACUGUGGGUGAGGAAGGCAGAGCGUGGGUGAGGAAGGCAGGGAUUGGCUCCCAGCCCCACAUUUUGUGAGCACAAAGACUGUCUUGGUUGAUGCAGGCAGCACUAACCAUGGGGCACAAGCUCCAGCAAGGUGCCAGGCUGUGAGGACACAAUGCUGCCAGCACACAAAGCAAAGAAGCAGACAUCCCAGCCCCCUUGGUUUUGAUGAUCCAUUAGUGACAGAUCAGAAGCUUCCCCUUUUAAAGUCGGAAACCUUUGAACUUGACUGGAAACUUUUCACCUGCUCCAGCUCUUCCCACUCAAGGGGCAAGUAUGGGGCUGCAAGAGCCCACUCCUGGGGAAGGCACACGGCAUCAGGUGCCACUGCAGGCUUUAAUGCAUCUUUUCCUUUUGCCUUUAAAGAUUAACUGCAGCAAUUAAGAGAGAGAAGCUAACAGCAUCUUCCCAGUCUCUAGAGCAACAGCGAUGGGAGACGCUCUUGCAGAAGGCAGGUCUUGGUCUUUUUAACUGUUUUUAGACCUGUCUGGUGCUUUUAGACCUGCCUGCGCUUUAACUCCUUGCUGGCCUUUUCUUCCACACUUCUGCUGCCAUGCUGCAACUCUAACAAAAACAGGAAUGCAAAAGUGAACGAAAAGGAUGGGAGAUGUGGCAUGGGGGAAACGAGCCUAAAUUUAGCCUCUGCUUUAAAAAAAAAAAUAAAAAAAAAUCACUAAAUAGAUCCACAGCGGGAACGCCACUGCCCGAAGGGGUCUGCAGCAGGAGCAGAGGCUGUUGCUAUGAGACCUGUUGCUACGGCAGAACUCCCAUCCUCUUCCUACAAACAAAACCACUGACUGUCAGCAAAGGAAUCGGCCUUUUUACCUCCGGCUGCUCCGGGGAGGUCUGACCAGGCAUGAUGUACUAGAUAACAAACAGCAGCAUAGAUUUACUUUGUACUUCUCCAGAUUUAGCAUUUCUUAUUUUAGCGCUCACAGACCAAAGCACAGGCUGAACUCACCAGACAGGGACUGGGCAAUAUACUGUCAUCCAAAGAGACCAAAGGUGGGCAGGAAAACAGGAGGCAAGGGAAUAAAGGGACAUCAGCCCCAGCUCUGCUGGUGUUCUGCAUCACCUGCAGUUUAUCAUCUGCAUUCACACACUCCGUGAGUAAGCUGCUCAUGCCUCAAAACAACCGGGCAGGCUUAUGAAAACAUCUCAGCAGACAAAAAGCAGACCUCUGAAAACCAACAGCAGCACGGCUGAGCCCACAAGUCCUCUCCAUCUCACCCCUCCAGGUCCGGAAACAGCUGGGCUCCUCCAGGGCUUUUACAUGGAAUCGUUAAGUGUUCACCAAGACUGUGCCCUUCACAACGAGCACUGCUGAACUGUGCCAUGCCAGAGGUGGCUGCAGCCAGCAACAGGAGAAUGAAAGCUGAAUGGUUUGGCCUCAAUCAUUGAGCAACAGCCUGGGCUGUUUCCUGGGCUGUCUCUUAAUUUCUGCAGGAUGAAAAUUAGGUCAUUACAGAGCUCUUCUGAAAACACAGACAUUAAACCUCAAACUCUGUAAAUGCCAGUGCUCUUCUGACAAGUUCUUGACUUGGCAACAGCAAGGUUACUCAGCUCCCUUUGGCAUAUGCAGCACCAGAUAGCAUGCAAUAAAGUGACCACAUUCACCAGCCUCCUUGGACACCUUGGGCCGGCUGUCCAUACCAACCCACCUACUACAGUGCCUGCUUCCCCCAGCCCCUCCGCUCAUGCCAGGUACCACAGCAGUCCUGGGCAGCUGGAGGCUGAAAAAGAAUGGAAAAAUCUCCCUCAUUUCUCGCCUCUGAGUCAGAGCAUGCUCAGAAGACAAAGAAGUUUGGAGAAUUUAGCUGCCAAAUUCUAACAGGGUCUGGGCUCGUGAAUGCAAAGGCCUUCCAAAGGCUUAUAAAUCACAUCUGUCUCAAAAGCUUUUCCAUAGGAAGAGCAGAAGACACAUUCCUGCACCAACAUGCUACAGUAGGAGGCAUGAUUUACUACCCAACAGAAAGGUUAUUGUGCAUGUGUUUUUUGAAUGCUUUGCUCUCAAACAGAGAGCAGAAAGACAUCAUUCUUACUACAAAAGUUUUGCAAAAAAAAAAAAGAGAGACAAGUAGACAGCAAUGCAUCCAAAUUUUAAACACCUGGAAGUUUCCCAAGUCCAAAUCCAAGCUGGUCAUCAUGGCUAUUACUAUAACCCUUACUGACAAACAGGUACCUCCAACAGCUUCCAGGGCAAGCAUGCAAGACAAAUGGGUGCAACACCCUCAUGCACUUCCACAGGGAUUUGGCCUCUCUGCAGGCAACAGCAGAAGCCCACCCUACCACCAGCUCUGACUUGGGCAAGUAACAACCCAACACGAAACACUUCAACCCAAAGAGAUGAAGUGUGACAAGCACUCAAAGUAUUUUUUGCCAGGAAUGACCCAACAAACUUUACAGCAGGUAAGAGAAGUAGCUCUGCCCCUUUCAACUUCCCUGAGGCUGAUGUGAUUUGGGGUCCCUGCUGGGACAGGACAUCAGAG